CCCCAUUUUGGCCCCGUCACUUACCUUGUAGGACACGGCGAUUCGGCGACGGGUAAAUCGGACGUGCCCGUCGAGCAGCUGGAGAAAUUAAAAGCAGCUGAAACUAAGGAACAAGAACACGUUGAAUUCCACAGACUAG